UAUAAGGGGUGUGUGUAGACAGAUUUUAAGGAAUUGGCUUAUGUGAUUAUAAAGGUGGUAAUUCCCAUAUCUUCAUAGCAGGCCUGCAGGCUGGAGACCUGGAGAAGAUUGAUGAUGCAACUUUGAAUUCAACAGCAGUCUGGAGGCAGAAUUUCUUAUUGUUUGUGGAAAUUCAGUCUUUGAAGAUCUCCAAUUGAUUGAAUGAGGCUUAUCCAAAUUAUGGAAGAUAAUCUUUUCUACUCAAAAUCUACUGCUUUAAAUAUUAAUCAGGAGGCUGGCUGACUAGAGAUACCUAGUGUGCUCCACUCUCAUGGAGAGAAAUACAAAGGAUAAGCAUAUAUACCAAUUGAAAACAUCUCUAUCAUGGAAGGAAGAAAGAAAACAAAGAGAAAGUGUAAUGGUCAACUUUAUGUGCCAACUUGGUAAGUGUUUUUGAAUGAGAUUAACAUUUAUAUCAGUGACCUUUCAUUAAGCAAAUGGCCCUCCAUAACAUGUGUGGACCUCAUGCAAUAUGCUGAAGGCCUAAAUCUAAUAAAAGACACAUCUCCCAAACAAGAAGAAAUUGUCCAGCAGAUUUCUCUCAGACUGGAACUAUACCGUGGGCUCUCCUAGGUCUCAAGACUCUCAGCCCAUACUACAUUUGGACUUCCCAUUUCCAUAAUCAUGUGAGUCUACAUACCACAUACACACAUUGCCAAAGUUGUCAAAUUAAAAUAGAGUUAGUUGUGUGAAAUGCUGGCAAAGGCCAUGAAGGGAGGGCUCUGCUGCACAAUUUGCCUGAUACCAGAAACUAUCACAAGAAGUUUUUCCAAACCACAGCUUACUGCGUGAGUCACACAAAGAUAGCAGCACAAGGACAGCUAGCUGCUUACACAAAAACAUUUGCCUGACACUGUCUCACAAGCCCACUCCUAUGAAACAGCCUGCUGUAUCUAAAAUUACAAGUUAUAUCUAGCAACUGCCACCACUCACCAAUCACAGCUUGCCAGCUCCCAAAAGACAAAUAAGCUCCCCUUUUCCCAGUGAAAUCCUGUUUAUCCUUUGUUCUCUAGACAUA
rnacentral:lncRNA from 1 species